AUUGAACGCUGGCGGCAGGCUUAACACAUGCAAGUCGAACGAGUGGCGGACGGGUGAGUAAUGCUUGGGAAUCUGGCUUAUGGAGGGGGAUAACGACGGGAAACUGUCGCUAAUACCGCGUACCAUAGGAUGAGCCCAAGUGGGAUUAGGUAGUUGGUGGGGUAAUGGCUUACCAAGCCGAGGAUCUCUAGCUGGUCUGAGCGGAUGACCGGCCACACGGGAACGGAGACACGGCCCGGACUCGUACGGGAGGAAGCAGUGGGGAAUAUUGCGCAAUGGGGGAAACCGGAGGAAGCCAUGCCGCGGGAAUGAAGAAGGCUUUGGGGUUGUAAAGUUCUUUCAGUGAGGAGGCGUUAAUCACAGAAGAAGCAACGGCUAACUCCGUGCCAGCAGCCGCGGUAAUAC
rnacentral:rRNA from 1 species